GACGAACGCUGGCGGCGUGCUUAACACAUGCAAGUCGAACGGAAAGGCCCUGCUUUUGUGGGGUGCUCGAGUGGCAAACGGGUGAGUAACACGUGAGUAACCUGCCCUUGACUUUGGGAUAACUUCAGGAAACUGGGGCUAAUACCGGAUAGGAGCUCCUGCUGCAUGGUGGGGGUUGGAAAGUUUCGGCGGUUGGGGAUGGACUCGCGGCUUAUCAGCUUGUUGGUGGGGUAGUGGCUUACCAAGGCUUUGACGGGUAGCCGGCCUGAGAGGGUGACCGGCCACAUUGGGACUGAGAUACGGCCCAGACUCCUACGGGUGGCAGCAGUGGGGAAUAUUGCACAAUGGGCGGAAGCCUGAUGCAGCAACGCCGCGUGCGGGAUGACGGCCUUCGGGUUGUAAACCGCUUUCGCCUGUGACGAAGCGUGAGUGACGGUAAUGGGUAAAGAAGCACCGGCUAACUACGUG
rnacentral:rRNA from 1 species